UACGUAGGGGGCUAGCGUUGUCCGGAAUCAUUGGGCGUAAAGAGCGUGUAGGCGGCCCGGUAAGUCCGCUGUGAAAGUCGAGGGCUCAACCCUCGAAUGCCGGUGGAAACUGUCGGGCUGGAGUCCGGAAGAGGCGAGUGGAAUUCCUGGUGUAGCGGUGAAAUGCGCAGAUAUCAGGAGGAACACCAAUGGCGAAGGCAGCUCGCUGGGACGGUACUGACGCUGGAGACGCGAAAGCGUGGGGAGCAAACAGG
rnacentral:rRNA from 1 species